rnacentral:rRNA from 1 species
UACAGAGACGGCAAGCGUUGUUCGGAUUCAUUGGGCGUAAAGGGUCCGUAGGCGGUCGAGCAAGUCGGAUGUGAAAUCCCACAGCCUAACUGUGGAAAGUCAUUCGAAACUGCUCGGCUCGAGGGCUGGAGAGGAGACUGGAAUUGUCGGUGUAGCGGUGAAAUGCGUAGAGAUCGACAAGAACACCGGUGGCGAAGGCGGGUCUCUGGACAGUUCCUGACGCUGAGGGACGAAAGCUAGGGGAGCAAACGGG